UACGUAGGGGGCAAGCGUUGUCCGGAAUCAUUGGGCGUAAAGCGCGUGUAGGCGGCCCGAAAAGUCUGGUGUGAAAACUUGAGGCUCAACCUCAAGCUGUCACUGGAUACUGUCGGGCUUGAGUCCGGAAGAGGAGAGUGGAAUUCCUGGUGUAGCGGUGGAAUGCGCAGAUAUCAGGAGGAACACCAAUGGCGAAGGCAGCUCUCUGGUACGUGACUGACGCUGAGACGCGAAAGCGUGGGUAGCAAACAGG
rnacentral:rRNA from 1 species